AUAAAGGAUCUUAUAGGAUCCACAUCUGUCAAACCAUUAAAAUCAUU
rfam:Cephalotus follicularis DNA, scaffold: scaffold274, isolate: St1.